rnacentral:rRNA from 1 species
UCAAGUAAUUAAGUGCAUGUGGUGGAUGCCUUGGCAGUCAGAGGCGAUGAAAGACGUGAUAGCCUGCGAAAAGCUCCGGGGAGGCGGCAAAUAUCCUUUGAUCCGGAGAUGUCUGAAUGGGGGAACCCACCUACUUUAAGGUAGGUAUUGCAACAUGAAUACAUAGUGUUGCAAGGCGAACGAGGGGAAGUGAAACAUCUCAGUACCCUUAGGAAAAGAAAUCAAUUGAGAUUCCCUCAGUAGCGGCGAGCGAACGGGGAUCAGCCCAUUAAGUUAUGUGUGUUUUAGUGGAACGCUCUGGGAAGUGCGAACGUAGAGGGUGAUAUUCCCGUACACGAAAGGGCACACAUAAUGAUGACGAGUAGGGCGAGGCACGUGAAACCUUGUCUGAAUAUGGGGGGACCAUCCUCCAAGGCUAAAUACUCCUGACUGACCGAUAGUGAACCAGUACCGUGAGGGAAAGGCGAAAAGAACCCCUGUGAGGGGAGUGAAAUAGAUCCUGAAACCGCAUGCAUACAAGCAGUGGGAGCACCUUCGUGGUGUGACUGCGUACCUUUUGUAUAAUGGGUCAGCGACUUAUAUUCAGUAGCGAGGUUAACCGUAUAGGGGAGCCGUAGAGAAAUCGAGUCUUAAUAGGGCGUUUAGUUGCUGGGUAUAGACCCGAAACCAGGCGAUCUAUCCAUGAGCAGGUUGAAGGUUGGGUAACACUAACUGGAGGACCGAACCCACUGUCGUUGAAAAGCCAGGGGAUGACUUGUGGAUAGGGGUGAAAGGCUAAUCAAGCCUGGUGAUAGCUGGUUCUCCCCGAAAGCUAUUUAGGUAGCGCCUCGGACGAAUACCAUAGGGGGUAGAGCACUGUUUCGGCUAGGGGGUCAUCCCGACUUACCAAACCGAUGCAAACUCCGAAUACCUAUGAGUACUAUCCGGGAGACAGACUGCGGGUGCUAACGUCCGUAGUCAAGAGGAAAACAAUCCAGACCGCCAGCUAAGGCCCCAAAAUCAUAGUUAAGUGGGAAACGAUGUGGGAAGGCAUAGACAGCUAGGAGGUUGGCUUAGAAGCAGCCACCCUUUAAAGAAAGCGUAAUAGCUCACUAGUCGAGUCGGCCUGCGCGGAAGAUGUAACGGGGCUAAAACUAUGUGCCGAAGCUGCGGAUNNUGCUGGAGGUAUCAGAAGUGCGAAUGCUGACGUGAGUAACGACAAAACGGGUGAAAAACCCGUUCGCCGAAAGACCAAGGGUUCCAGUCCAACGUUAAUCGGGGCUGGGUGAGUCGACCCCUAAGGCGAGGCCGAAAGGCGUAGUCGAUGGGAAAAUGGUUAAUAUUCCAUUACUUCUGUGUAAUGCGAUGAGAGGACGGAGAAGGCUAAAUCAGCCUGGCGUUGGUUGUCCAGGUGAAAGGAUGUAGGCAUGUAUCUUAGGCAAAUCCGGGGUACUCUAUGCUGAGAUCUGAUAGCAAGCUGUACUUGUACAGCGAAGUGGUUGAUGCCAUGCUUCCAGGAAAAGUCUCUAAGCUUCAGUUACACAGGAAUCGUACCCGAAACCGACACAGGUGGUCAGGUCGAGUAGACCAAGGCGCUUGAGAGAACUCUGCUGAAGGAACUAGGCAAAAUGGUACCGUAACUUCGGGAGAAGGUACGCUGUUGUUGGUGAUGGAACUCGCUUCCUGAGCUGACGACAGCCGCAGAAACCAGGCCGCUGCAACUGUUUAUUAAAAACAUAGCACUCUGCAAACACGAAAGUGGACGUAUAGGGUGUGAUGCCUGCCCGGUGCUGGAAGGUUAAUUGAUGGGGUUAGCGUAAGCGAAGCUCUUGAUCGAAGCCCCAGUAAACGGCGGCCGUAACUAUAACGGUCCUAAGGUAGCGAAAUUCCUUGUCGGGUAAGUUCCGACCUGCACGAAUGGCAUAAUGAUGGCGGCGCUGUCUCCAGCAGAGGCUCAGUGAAAUCGAAAUCGCUGUGAAGAUGCAGUGUACCCGCGGCUAGACGGAAAGACCCCGUGAACCUUUACUGCAGCUUGACACUGAACUUUGACCUUACUUGUGUAGGAUAGGUGGGAGGCUUUGAAGCUGGAACGCUAGUUCCAGUGGAGCCGUCCUUGAAAUACCACCCUGGUAAUGUUGAGGUUCUAACUCUGUCCCGUGAUCCGGGACGAGGACCGUGUCUGGUGGGUAGUUUGACUGGGGCGGUCUCCUCCUAAAGAGUAACGGAGGAGUACGAAGGUGCGCUCAGCGUGGUCGGAAAUCACGCGUAGAGUAUAAAGGCAAAAGCGCGCUUAACUGCGAGACCCACAAGUCGAGCAGGUACGAAAGUAGGUCUUAGUGAUCCGGUGGUUCUGUAUGGAAGGGCCAUCGCUCAACGGAUAAAAGGUACUCUGGGGAUAACAGGCUGAUACCGCCCAAGAGUUCAUAUCGACGGCGGUGUUUGGCACCUCGAUGUCGGCUCAUCUCAUCCUGGGGCUGAAGCAGGUCCCAAGGGUAUGGCUGUUCGCCAUUUAAAGAGGUACGCGAGCUGGGUUUAGAACGUCGUGAGACAGUUCGGUCCCUAUCUACCGUGGGCGCUGGAAAUUUGAGAGGAUCUGCUCCUAGUACGAGAGGACCAGAGUGGACGAACCUCUGGUGUACCGGUUGUGACGCCAGUCGCAUCGCCGGGUAGCUAUGUUCGGAAGGGAUAACCGCUGAAAGCAUCUAAGCGGGAAGCCUACCUCAAGAUAAGAUUUCCCUAGGACUUUAUGUCCUCUAAAGAGCCGUUCGAGACUAGGACGUUGAUAGGUUGGAUGUGGAAGCAUAGUGAUAUGUGAAGCUGACCAAUACUAAUUGCUCGUGAGGCUUGACUAU